CCCCCAUUGUUGCAUCAGACCUCUUAUUGAGUUUAAUAACUAUGUACGAGAUAGAAAUCUAGUUUCCCUGCCGUUUCUACCACAUUAGAAAAUGUAUAAUCAAUUUUAAAAGCCCCAGUACUGUAAGAAUGGGACAUGGUCUAACUAAGCUUUUUGUAUGUAGUCUUUCAGGCACAUCCAGCCACCCACUUGCAGAACGGAAGAAGGACAUUCCACAUACCACGGCAAAUGGUCAGCGACCCACUGCUCCUCUCAGCAUCAACACCCCUUGACUCCCCAGAAGGACUUGCACUCCUACAAGAAGUUCCAGAACGUGAGUGGCUUCUCUUUGGAGAUGGUGAUCUGGACUUUGAUUGGCUGCUUCUAGGUCUUGAAAGAGACCUGGACCUGUAUCAGGAUCUUGAAUGGGAUGAUCUUGAUCUUUUUAAAGAACCUGAUUGAGAUUGAAUUGAAGCAGAUCUAGAUCUAUGCAAAGAUACAGUUGUGGAUCUUGACCCCCUUCUCACAUCACCUGCUUGGUGACCAAGAAUAUCUCCUUCUUUGGAAUCUUGAGUGAGAUCUAGAUUGUGAUCUGCUUCUCCUUCGCUGGUUAUAUCAAUGACAAUCAUAAGCAUAAUGAGCCUUCACCAUAUUCAUAACAUAUUUCAUAGGACCAAAUGAGCAAUGUGCAGAUGGUCUUCAAGGCAUAACUAUUGGCAUUUUGACUCUUACUUGGGCACCACAAAUCACUUUUCCAUCUAGUCCCUGAACUGCAUCUUUUGCAUCUCUUGGAUCUUCAAACUCCACAAAGGCAGAUCCUGGAGGAUGUCUGGCAAUCCACACAGUUCUUAAGGGAACAUAAUAACUAAAGGCUCUUCCUAAUACUCCUUUACUAGCACCAGUUUGCCAGGUUUCCAACAUAUACUUUGGUCUCUCCUCCAUAUAUCCCAUAGCAUGACAUGGUGUCUGGCAUUUGUGCUCACUGCACUUUGUAACAGCCUGAUCUGGUUGACACGCUACUUGUCUCCACUGGGUGGUUCCAGCAACUACUGGGAGUCCUCUUUCUUCUUCAAAGAGUACAGUAUAGAGGAAAUAUUUUCUCUAUGGGAUAGGAGCUUAAAGAACUCUUAAAUUUAGAAACUUUCAGACUCAGGAUUAUCCAGGAGAUAACUUCCAAGACUGAGAUAUUCCAUUCUGGGGAACUCCAGUCUCUGACUUAUUCAAAACGAGUAUCAAGAGGCAUAGCUCUAGGCCAUUGAAAUUGCCCUGGAUUUGAUAAU
rnacentral:lncRNA from 1 species